GGAGACGUGGCCGAGCGGUCGAAGGCGGCGGUUUGCUAAACCGUUAUACCGGGAAACCGGUAUCGAGGGUUCGAAUCCCUCCGUCUCCG
rnacentral:tRNA from 1 species